AAAGAGGUUUUUUUUAAAACCAUAAUAUUUUAGUAUAAAUAGUAA
rfam:Anopheles epiroticus strain epiroticus2 unplaced genomic scaffold supercont1.257, whole genome shotgun sequence.